UAUUUAUAUCGUGUUCUAUUCUCAAUUAAUUCACUUGGGCUUUCAAACAUUUUUUUUAUCUUUAAGAGCCCUUAUUUAAAAUCUCUUAAUACCAACCAACCACAACCCAUGAUGCUUUUACUCCAUUAUAAAGGAAACUCUCAGAUUCCAUACAUAGUGUUUUGAAAGGAAUCCAAGAUCUUUACUGGGGACAUACUGUUAAAAAGACAUAAAAUUUAGUGGAAAAAUGUAUCAUGGGGUCGGUACCGAGGGGAUUUUCCCAGCCUACAGAAGUGAAGACUAGCUUGGAGAAAAAAUAGCUCUCUGCUACAUAAUGCAUGUGGUCCCUCCUCCAAUGCAGAUGCACCCUCCAAACUGCCUCCUGUCACUUGCUUAAAUCAUGAAUACUGUACGUGAAUGAUUGUUGCCCAUGUAUGAUUAAAAUGUAUUAUGAGACAUUUUCUCUUACCACUUCCUCCCUCAAAGAUAGCCAAAAGCCCCCAUACAGGCAAGCCCUACAUUUUAGGACUAGAUUGUUUAAGCCUCCCAAGUACAGGAACUCUAUUUCUGCUUUAUUUUUAACUCCCCACAGUGCCCGCUUCUAGAGAGCCUGAAGACAUUCUAUAUGCAAGAGACUUUGAGUAACAGCUAUGGCUCGCUAAGGGCAGGCAGCAGUGAUUAAUGCAUGUCCGGAAUUACUACUGACUUAACAGACUGUCUUCACCACCUUAAGUUGGUGUGUGAAGUUGGCUGUCCUUCCCACUGUUCAGCCAGGGCAAGUUUGUGCCUUAGGGGGCCAAUUCCCUUUGAGUUGCUAUUGAAUGAUCUAUGCCCCCAAGUUAGGCCAGGUUGGAAAGGGUAAGGUCAUAGUUGCGGGACUGCCUUUCCUCUACCAUGAGGAGAUAGAGCAACAAGAGCUUCUGGUCAAUUUACCCCACCCUCUGUUUCCCAGAAGCUAGCUGGGCUCUGGCUGAACUCUAGGGAUACAAGUCUAAACGGGGUAGGUUUUGGAACAUAGCCCUGAGCUGGGUCAUUCCUAGUGCAGGGAAACAUCAGAAUACCUUAGGACCCACACUGGAGAUAUCUUCAUUCUUUAAAUAAAGUGGCUGAGCAUCUGGGCAUGUAAAGUUAAAUCAAACACCAUAUAGCUUCAAAAACCUUAUAGCUUCUAGUCAAGGGACUUAGAUAGAAAUGAAGAAAUGAUCAGAGUACCAUGUGGUAAAGGCAUACUGGAGCUGACUGAAGGGAUGGGGACUGGUGAAGGACAAAGAUGUAGUUCGAGAAGGGAUGCUGGGCUGAGUCUUGAGAGACUUCUGGCUUCAGCACCCAUAGGCAUUCCAGGCUGAGGGAGCAUGAAGCAAGAGAGAGCUUUGAGUAGCUGAAGAACUUCAAGCAGUUAAUUAUAGCUGGAAUGAAGAGUAACAGGUGAGAGGGUGAGAGAAUAGGCUGGAAAGCUGCAUGUAACCGGCCUGGUGUACUGAGCUAAGAAGUUGAAAUUCAUCCAGAAAGGGAGCUGAAUUCAGCUUUACAUAGGCAGAACAAAACCAGCCUUGUAGUUAUGGCAAGGCAUGGGGUUAGGUUCUCUUGGCUUUAGGCCUCCAGCUGUAUGUUGAAUUUGCACAGGGGUAUGCACUAGGUUACCCUAGUCUGGUCCCUCAGUGCACUGGAUUUCACUUUGUUCAGUGCUUCUUGGUGUGGGAAUCAUGUCUCCAGCUCUCUCUGUAUGUGUUCACCCUGUGCCUGCUCAGUGCUGUUCUGGGAAUGGACACCCUGAGCACAGGGGUCAACGAAGGAGUGGAGUUAGUGCUCAGUUCAGUUGGAAGGUGACCAAAUACGAAUGCUGGGUGUGGCAAAUUAAUUUUCAUUGUUAUCACUCCAUAAGCGAAGGAAAUGUAGCCCUUGUUAUUUUCCAACAUAGUCUCCAAUAGAAACAGUUGUUUGUGACACUGAAUUAGUCUGUUAAAAAAUUCAUCACCUGAAAAAUUGCAUCAUAUAUUACUUUAAAAGUAAUGACUGUAGUAGGCAGAAAAGUGCCAACUCCACCCACCCGGAAAUGUCCAUGUCCUCAUCCCUCGAACCUCUGAAUAUGUUACCUCAAGGAGCAAAAGAGACAUUGCAGUUGUCAAUAAACUCAGGAUCUUGAGAUAGGGAGCUAGUCCUGGGUGGUCUGUGUGGUCCCAGAGUGCUUACAAGGUUCCUUAAAAGUAAAAGAGGGAGGCAGGGUCAGAGUGAUUCAAAGAAACCCUCAACGCUAUUGUUGGUUUUGAAGCCUGAAGAGGGCCACCAGCCAAGGGAUGCAGGUGACCUCUAGAAGCUGGAAAAGACAAGGAGAUGGAUUCUCCCCAAGACUCCAAGAAGAACACAGCCCUCCUGACACCUCAAUUUUAGAACAAAUGCUUGGGCCGAAGUCUCCUGAGCAAGGAAUGAUCUGCAGCAGGGGAUGGAACCAGUACAGCAGGACUGUAUCUUCACUUCCCAGAAAAAUGAGUAGGAUUUCUCCGGAAGGCAAGUCCCUCUGAGGAAUAUUACAGCGAAUGAAUCUUCUUUGGUGGUCCAGCCACACCAGCCCUUAUACUUCACAGCGUGAGUGGUAU